UUCCAUAGUUUAGGCCGAGAACAGUUGAAUUCUCAUGUCUAAAUCUGCUCGAGUCACUUGUAACAAAACUGUAUAGACUGCAUGGCUUUGAAACAAAGCAGUUAUUUCUGAUAGCUUUGAGACUGGAAGUCUGAAGCGAAGGUGCUAACUAACACGCUCCCCUGAGGCAAGCAGCUCCUUUCUCCAUCCUACCACAGUGAUAUUCCUCUUCAUCAUGACCCUGAAACAAUGGAGCCAGAUGACCAUCUAUGAGCCACAAUGGAUUUCUCUUCUUUGAUUUUUUGAUAAUCCAUUUUGUUCCAAGAACAUCUCAGGUUCUCUAAUACAGUUGAUUCUGUGUUCAGGUUCACAGAUCCUCUGCUUAAGGUUUCAAGGCCAAAGUGAAAGUGUUCCAAAGGAAUUGAGUGUGCAUAAUAACACACUGGAAAUAAUCUCAUAAAUUCCGUUCCAGAGAAAGUGCAUGGCAGAAGAGUCAACACAAUUUUACACAUUGUGGAGAAGGUUCUGGCUUUUUCCUUAUCUUCAUGUAAGACACUUCUCAAGGAAAAAGACAAAAUACCAUGGGAUGACCUGUAACUCUGGAGCUGGUUAUUUGUCAGUGGAGAAGUGACCUUUUUCUUCACUCCCUCUGACAGCACUGUGGGGAGAGUCAGGAGAGGAGCUUGGCAGGCAGUGGGAGAUGACAUUUACUGAGCUCCUACUGUCUACAAGUAUCUGAGUUGCACGGCUACCUAUAACACCUCCAAUCCAUUCUAAUGUCACUGUAGGAGGUAUUGUUAUAUAUGUUUGUAUUUUAUAGUUAAGGGAACUAUAGAGCACUGCUAAAUAACUUCCCUCAAAUCAGACAAGUUAUGCAUGAUGGUCAGAAUUUCAAUCGGGUUAAUCUAAAUCUACAUCUAUAGCUCUUAGUCAUUGCUUCUCAAACUAAGAGGAUCGUGGAGUAUGGGAAUGUCACCAAGAAGCUAUGGGACAAAAGAAUUUAUCUUUCUUGUGUCUGAUAUCUCUUUAACAGAAUGGGAACAAGAAUAUCACUUCCUAGAUUAUAAGAAUUAGUAUGAUGAAGGCACCAAGGCAUGAACCAGUAGAAACAUCAGCUCUCUCUCUAAUUUUUUUUAAACAAGCUUCCAUCCAGAACCUCUUGGGUGACUUUUCUUAUGCCCUAAAGCAUUAAUUUAUGGGAUAUUUGUAGGGCAGUUAUUAUGUGAACAAAGAUGUGGUCCUGGCAGUGGGGUGGUAGGAAGGGGCUAUAGAUGAUUGAUAAGCCAGGUACAAACUUUAUACCUCCAAAUGCAAGCCUGAAUCCAACAUGUCCCAUUGACUAUGACUCUUCUUGGAUGCUUCUACUCUUUGUCACUUGCCAUUUUCAUGUGUUUUGGAGUCAAAGGUUUGGGUGAUUUUCUCCACAUACUUCUAGACACCAAAAUCAUUAUUUAAGCCUUCUCUAGGUUCUAGGGAUUCUGCAUGCAAAAUGUCUUGUGUCCCCAUGAUGCUUGUUUAAUGUAGUUUGGUGGCACCUCUAUCCUUGACUAUGUUUCACAAAGGGGUUCCUUUUCUGUCAGUCUUGGUACCAUAGUCUUAGUAGCUUUUUCCUGCCUUCAGGCCCAUGCCUUGCCUUCAGGAUAUUCAGUCUUUAGGACAUACAGAAUGCUGUUCUCUCUGAUAUUGUCAUCCUAUCUUCAUUUCCCAGAAACCUUAGCUUCUCGGCCUCAAUCUGCUUAUUCUGGUGACUCACACCUUUAGGAACAUGGUCAGGACACCUCUUCCUCUUCAUCUCCUUUGCCUCCUCUUCCUCCUGUUCCUCUCUUUCUUCCUCCUCCUUUUCCUCCUCAUCUUCCUUUGAUCAGAAUGGAACCUAUCAGCUUCCAUUUCAAGGGCGUCUACUCAUCCUUUCCAACUGAGCUGAGAAAAAAGCCUAGGAAGAACAUUUUUUCUGCUCCCUAGUGUAAGCAAAGCCCAUUUUUUUGUGAUCUGUCUGUUUUAAUACUUCAACAAAUUGGAGAGCAAGCAGUUGCAGUCUAAGCCCUUUAAAACUAAGAAUAUGAGAUGGGAGAAUGAGGGAACUGCUGGGUGGAGGCCUUUGGGCUCUCAAGAGGCCCAUGGCUUUCAGAGAUGAUGUCUCAUGUGAGCAAAAAGCCCGGUAGGUAAUGCCUCUGGGCUGAUUGUUGGAGCCUUAGGGUUCAGUCCUUUCUACAGCUAGAACAAGUCAGUAUCUUUAUUUCAAGAUCAUUCCCUCUGAUGUUUCUCCCCUGAAAUGCCACUUCUAUUGAGACACAAGGAGAUGCAUGUCCAAGGGGGCCUUGACCGAUUCAAAGGCUAUGUGAUCAAUCAGAAAGGGUUGAGUUUCUUGUGAAUCUGAUCUGAGGGGUUCUGGACAGACAGCAGCAAAUGUCAUCACCUAUUCCAGACUGAGUCACCCUGCCUCUUCCUCUUUGCCUGCUGGUUUUUCCCUUGUCCCAGAAUUCUACAAUAUGCAGAUAAAAGCUCUAAAUUAAUCAGGCCUCAUAUGUGAGACCCUUGAUCCAAAUCCCAGAAGGACAGAAAAAGAAGAAGAAGGAGGAGGAGGAGGAAGAAGGGAGGAGGAAGAGGGGGAGCUGGAGGGGGAGGAGGAGGAGGAGAAGGAGAAAGAGAAGGAGAAGGAGAAGGAGGAGGAGGAGGAGGAGGAGGAGGAGGAGGAGAAGAAGAAGAAGAAGAAGAAGAAGAAGAAGAAGAAGAAGAAGAAGAAGAAGAAGAAGAAGAAGAGUUCCUAAGCUCUUCUUUCCUACAUCUUUUCUACCAGGCCCAAGAGCUCUUCCUAGAGAUCCAGGAGGGCUCCGGUGGUGGCACCAGGUAGACCUGGUCUCAAGGAUGGGUGUGGUAUGAUGCAUCCUCAGCAGAAACUCUAAAGCCCUUCUGUUGUGGAUUCCAGGGGCCUAGAGAGUGGAUAUGGGUAAACUGAGGGCUUUUUUUAAUUUGUUGAUACCUGGGACCUACUUGUAAAUUUGUUGAUGAGGAUUUUAUAUCCCAUAGUUUAGUACAAAUUAUUAGGAGGAAGCCAGGGAGAACCAUGGAAAUAACUGCCAUGGAAGUCUGUAAGAAAAGUCAUUCCCUCAAAGCAGUUCCCUGCUAGUUUCUAUCCUGUUAACAGAAAUAAAAAUGAUGCCUCUGGUGGAGUGAAGCAGCUUCCAAUCAGUUUCCCAUCCUUUCCUUAAUUUGAUUCUCUACCAAUUCUGGGAAGAUAAGCAAUAUGGUCCCUACUUCAUAAAUGAGGAAACCGGCAUAGAACAGCCAUUUGCGUGUAAGUGAUUACAUUUGGCUGUCUUUUGUUUGUUUGCUUUUGUCAGUGUAGGGACUGAACUGCCACCCAAGGCUCUACCACCAAGCUACAUCUCCAGACUCUAGGUUAACAAGCUCUUGUUUGACGAGGUCCAGCUGCAUCAGUCAGGUCAUUUCCAGAG